rnacentral:rRNA from 1 species
CUCUAGAGAGACCGCCGGUGAUAAACCGGAGGAAGGUGUGGAUAGCGUCAAGUCAUCAUGCCCCUUACAUCCUGGGCUACACACGUACUACAAUGCUACGGACAAAGGGCAGCAAGUUCGCGAGGACAAGCAAAUCCCAUAAACCGUGGCUCAGUUCAGAUCGUAGGCUGCAACUCGCCUACGUGAAGGAGGAAUCGCUAGUAAUCGCAGGUCAGCAUACUGCGGUGAAUACGUUCCCGGGCCUU